rnacentral:lncRNA from 1 species
GCUUGCGGCUGGAAGGGGCCCUGUGCAGGUGUUACGAGCCCAUGAGGGAGAGAUGCCUCUGCCUGAAUGAAGCUGCAAAGGAGGCCAUGUGAGGACAACAACACUUUGUGUCACAGUCCUGCCGAGCCUGGAGGGCCACAUCAGGGCAGAGGCAGCUCAUGAGAGGCACAGCUACAGCUCUUGCACAGAGAAACAACUGGGAACAGGCCAGGAUCACAGAAAGUUCAUGGCUUCCUUAUCACUAACCCCAUGUCUAUGUACAGCUCCAGCUGAUGGCAGCUGAGAACCCCCUGCGAAGGAGGGGCUGAGGGAUGGUCAGACUCUGAUGCAGAGAAACCUUGUUCUGGGAGACAGGACUUUCCUAAAUACCAGGAGAACUUCAACAAAGUAAAUUUCCCAGCUCUCCUCUUCUGGAUUAUGUAACAUUCCCAUCAGAUAGGACCCCAGUUCAGUGGUACACUCCUCUGAUCCCUUGCCUAACAAUCCCACGGACAAAAAAAAAAAAGGUUUUAUUUUGUUGUUGUUAUCUUAAAACU